GUGAGUUGCCUGCAGCUCUGCUGCCACUACGGGAAGAAAUUCCAAGGAUGCAGAAUCUGCUUUCGAGGAGUGGGUUCUGAUUUCCAUGGAUAAGGACCAGCCAAUAUUUCUUUCCAAAGAAAAAGGGAAAGUCAGGGGAGUUGGGUAAUUCUGAUGACAUUUGGCUCAGCACUGCAGUGCACUGCAGCCCCACCGCUGCCGUACAGAGCGACGGCACCUCCUUCUUUGCUGCCAGCACUGCUGCUCACACAGCCACGAUGCCGUUGGCCUUCUUGGCCCCUGGGCACAGUGCUGGCCCACGGUCAGUCCAGCAUCAAUCAACUGCCCCAGCAACAGUGACCCACCAGGGUGGGUUUGGGGACCCUCGAAGAAUGCGUGAAAAAGAAACUCCUCAGCCUCAAAGUGCUGCUGUCAACAAGAAGGAAAGGGGAAGUGUCCCGUGAGUGUCUGUUGGGCUCCUGAAGGGAUAAUUACAGACUGCAAACCGCCUCCAUUGCUGUGGAAGGGAGAUUAGAAUGAGACAGCCGCUAUCCCGUCUCGAAUGCAGAUCUUGGUGGGCCAUAACGUGCCUGCCCAGCAAGGAUUUAUUGUACCAAUCUAUAACAUAAUCUGGUAUGACAUAUUAGUAAACAGCCCUUUAAAGAUAACCCCACUACCGCCAAUCGGUGCGUUGGGAAGGAUUGCCAAGCACUUACUGCUACACAGAAAUAAAACAGAGACCUCAGUCUGCAUCCCGGCUGUGUGCGUGUUGGAUGAUGCUCGGCAAGAGGGAUAGCUCCCCCAGAGCAGCAUCACCCCCUCCUCACCAGGCUGUGUCCCGGCCCCCAUCACCCCCACCACUGCUCGGUGCUGUGCUGGGGAAGAGGAGCUGUGGGAGCGCUGCUCCGGUGCUGGCACAGCAGGGCCUGUGCUGGGGCACGACUGGGAGCAGCUCUGCAGAUGGGCCCUGAGUGCUGCUGGGCUCCGAGGGGACACGAAGUGGCUGUGGCCCUCCACCUGUGUCCGGGCUGCGCUGGGAUGGCACUGCC
ensembl:lncRNA